rnacentral:rRNA from 1 species
AGUGAACGCUGGCGGCGUGCUUAACACAUGCAAGUCGAACGAGAACGGGUUAUAGCUUGCUAUAAUUGUCAGCUAAGUGGCGCACGGGUGAGUAAUGUAUAGGUAAUAUGCCUCUUACUAAGGGAUAACAAAUGGAAACGUUUGCUAAUACCUUAUACUCCUUAUUAACAUAAGUUAAUAAGGGAAAGAUUUAUUGGUAAGAGAUUAGCCUGUAUUGUAUCAGUUAGUUGGUGGGGUAAUGGCUUACCAAGACUAUGACACAUAACUGGUUUGAGAGGAUGAUCAGUCACACUGGAACUGAGACACGGUCCAGACUCCUACGGGAGGCAGCAGUGGGGAAUAUUGCACAAUGGACGAAAGCCUGACGCAGCCACGCCGCGUGAGCGAUGAAGGCC